rfam:Kwoniella mangroviensis CBS 10435 unplaced genomic scaffold supercont2.1, whole genome shotgun sequence.
ACACCGUUGGUGGAACGGUAUCAUGUAACAUUCCCAUUGUUACGUCACGGGUUCGACUCCCGUACGGUGUA